rnacentral:rRNA from 1 species
UACGUAGGUGGCAAGCGUUGUCCGGAUUUACUGGGCGUAAAGGGCGUGCAGGCGGUCUGUUAAGUCUAGGGUGAAAGCUCCCGGCUCAACUGGGAGAGGUCCUUGGAUACUGGCGGGCUUGAGGGAGGUAGAGGAAAGUGGAAUUCCCGGUGUAGUGGUGAUAUGCGUAGAUAUUGGGAGGAACACCAGUGGCGAAGGCGGCUACCUGGACCGGUUCUGACGCUGAGGCGCGAAAGCGUGGGUAGCAAACAGG